rnacentral:rRNA from 1 species
UACGUAGGUGGCAAGCAUUAUCCGGAUUUACUGGGCGUAAAGGGUGCGUAGGCGGAUUUUUAAGUGAGAUGUGAAAUACCCGGGCUUAACUUGGGUGCUGCAUUUCAAACUGGAAAUCUAGAGCGCAGGAGAGGAAAGUGGAAUUCCUAGUGUAGCGGUGAAAUGCGUAGAGAUUAGGAAGAACACCAGUGGCGAAGGCGACUUUCUGGACUGUAACUGACGCUGAGGCACGAAAGCGUGGGGAGCAAACAGG